GACGAACGCUGGCGGCGUGCUUAACACAUGCAAGUCGAACGGAAAGGUCCUGCUUUUGUGGGGUGCUCGAGUGGCGAACGGGUGAGUAACACGUGAGUAACCUGCCCUUGACUUUGGGAUAACUUCAGGAAACUGGGGCUAAUACCGGAUAGGAGCUCCUGCUGCAUGGUGGGGGUUGGAAAGUUUCGGCGGUUGGGGAUGGACUCGCGGCUUAUCAGCUUGUUGGUGGGGUAGUGGCUUACCAAGGCUUUGACGGGUAGCCGGCCUGUGAGGGUGACCGGCCACAUGGGGACUGAGAUACGGCCCAGACUCCUACGGGAGGCAGCAGUGGGGAAUAUUGCACAAUGGGCGGAAGCCGGAUGCAGCAACGCCGCGUGCGGGAUGACGGCCUUCGGGUUGUAAACCGCUUUCGCCUGUGACGAAGCGUGAGUGACGGUAAUGGGUAAAGAAGCACCGGCUAACUACGUG
rnacentral:rRNA from 1 species